rnacentral:rRNA from 1 species
UACGAACCGUCCAAACGUUAUUCGGAUUCAUUGGGCUUAAAGGGUACGUAGGCGGCGCUUCAAGUCGGGUGUGAAAUCCCUCGGCUCAACCGAGGAACUGCGCCCGAUACUGGAGUGCUUGAGGGAGACAGAGGUAAGCGGAACUGAUGGUGGAGCGGUGAAAUGCGUUGAUAUCAUCAGGAACACCAGUGGCGAAAGCGGCUUACUGGGUCUCUUCUGACGCUGAGGUACGAAAGCUAGGGGAGCGAACGGGAUUAGAAACCCCCGUAGUCC